rnacentral:lncRNA from 1 species
AGUGAUGUCAUUUCUGUUUGUUGAAAAAAGGUCUUUUGAAUCGGGGAGAUUCAAAGUCCACCAUAUAUUUAGUGCUUAUGUUGAAAGAUUGUAAGAGAAGUCUUGGUGUGAGGCUUGUACAAAGAUCUAACAUAAUGAAAUCUUUCACGUGUGUGAAAGGACUAGACUACCCUUAUUUGAAAAGGGGAAUCAGGAUAUAUCUUUGUGUUCUUUAUUGUUU